rnacentral:rRNA from 1 species
GGCCAGGCUGUCUCCACCCGAGACUCAGUGAAAUUGAACUCGCUGUGAAGAUGCAGUGUACCCGCGGCAAGACGGAAAGACCCCGUGAACCUUUACUAUAGCUUGACACUGAACAUUGAGCCUUGAUGUGUAGGAUAGGUGGGAGGCUUUGAAGCGUGGACGCCAGUCUGCGUGGAGCCAACCUUGAAAUACCACCCUUUAAUGUUUGAUGUUCUAACGUUGGCCCCUUACCGGGGUUGCGGACAGUGUCUGGUGGGUAGUUUGACUGGGGCGGUCUCCUCCCAAAGCGUAACGGAGGAGCACGAAGGUUAGCUAAUCCUGGUCGGACAUCAGGAGGUUAGUGCAAUGGCAUAAGCUAGCUUGACUGCGAGCGUGACGGCGCGAGCAGGUGCGAAAGCAGGUCAUAGUGAUCCGGUGGUUCUGAAUGGAAGGGCCAUCGCUCAACGGAUAAA